GGCUCAGGACGAACGCUGGCGGCGUGCCUAACACAUGCAAGUCGAACGGAGAUACUUUGAAGCUUGCGAUAAAGUAUCUAGUGGCGGACGGGUGAGUAACGCGUGGGUAAUCUGCCCAUAAGUGGGGAACAACAGUUGGAAACGACUGCUAAUACCGCAUAAUCUGCCUUAGGGUAGGAAAGGUGGCCUCUUAACAAUGCUGCCGCUUAUGGAUGAGCCCGCGUCUGAUUAGCUAGUUGGUGGGUAAAGGCCUACCAAGGCGACGAUCAGUAGCCGGCCUGAGAGGGUGAACGGCCACACUGGGACUGAGACACGGCCCAGACUCCUACGGGAGGCAGCAGUGGGGAAUAUUGCGCAAUGGGGGAAACCCUGACGCAGCGACGCCGCGUGAGCGAAGAAGGCCUUAGGGUUGUAAAGCUCUGUUUUAGGGGACGAAUGUUCAUAGGAGUAAUAUGCCUGUGAAAUGACGGUACCCUAAGAGGAAGCCCCGGCUAACUACGUGCCAGCAGCCGC
rnacentral:rRNA from 1 species